AAUGCGCUGCUACCAUGCAGUCGAACGGUGAAAGCGGAGCUUGCUCUGCUGGAUCAGUGGCGAACGGGUGAGUAACACGUGAGCAAUCUGCCCCUGACUCUGGGAUAAGCGCUGGAAACGGCGUCUAAUACUGGAUACGAGCUGCGAAGGCAUCUUCAGCAGCUGGAAAGAACUUCGGUCAGGGAUGAGCUCGCGGCCUAUCAGCUUGUUGGUGAGGUAACGGCUCACCAAGGCGUCGACGGGUAGCCGGCCUGAGAGGGUGACCGGCCACACUGGGACUGAGACACGGCCCAGACUCCUACGGGAGGCAGCAGUGGGGAAUAUUGCACAAUGGGCGCAAGCCUGAUGCAGCAACGCCGCGUGAGGGACGACGGCCUUCGGGUUGUAAACCUCUUUUAGCAGGGAAGAAGCGAAAGUGACGGUACCUGCAGAAAAAGCGCCGGCUAACUACGUGCCAGCAGCCGCGGUAAUACGUAGGGCGCAAGCGUUAUCCGGAAUUAUUGGGCGUAAAGAGCUCGUAGGCGGUUUGUCGCGUCUGCUGUGAAAACCCGAGGCUCAACCUCGGGCCUGCAGUGGGUACGGGCAGACUAGAGUGCGGUAGGGGAGAUUGGAAUUCCUGGUGUAGCGGUGGAAUGCGCAGAUAUCAGGAGGAACACCGAUGGCGAAGGCAGAUCUCUGGGCCGUAACUGACGCUGAGGAGCGAAAGGGUGGGGAGCAAACAGGCUUAGAUACCCUGGUAGUCCACCCCGUAAACGUUGGGAACUAGUUGUGGGGUCCAUUCCACGGAUUCCGUGACGCAGCUAACGCAUUAAGUUCCCCGCCUGGGGAGUACGGCCGCAAGGCUAAAACUCAAAGGAAUUGACGGGGACCCGCACAAGCGGCGGAGCAUGCGGAUUAAUUCGAUGCAACGCGAAGAACCUUACCAAGGCUUGACAUAUACGAGAACGGG
rnacentral:rRNA from 1 species